AAACUUUGGUAAUAAAGUACAUAUAUUACCCGCCAGGGGACUACAAGCACUAGCUUAAAACCCAAAGGACUUGGCGGUGCCUCAAACCCAUCUAGAGGAGCCUGUUCUACAACUGAUAAUCCUCGUUAAACCUCACCACCCCUUGUCAACCCCGCCUAUAUACCGCCGUCGCCAGCUCACCUUGUGAAAGAUAAAUAGUGAGCCUAAUGGGAACAUCCCAGAACGUCAGGUCGAGGUGUAGCGAAUGGGGUGGGAAGAAAUGGGCUACAUUUUCUGACCUCCAGAAUAUUACGAAAAAUGCUAUGAAAUAUAGUAUACAGAAGGUGGAUUUAGCAGUAAAGAGAAAACAGAGUGUCUC
rnacentral:rRNA from 1 species